UCCAGCUCCGGAUGUCUUCAAGGCAGAUGAUGAGGGAGGUGGGAGGAGAUGCAGACCUGUGUGUCAUCGGGGUAGCAGAUUAAAAAAAGGUCAAACUGGCUUGACACUUGAAAAGUCGUGAAAGUUUCUCUUCAAAGUUAUAAAAGAUGAUGAGCUGGCCUACACACAUGGUACCCAUCUGUGAAAAAAAACAGGACCUGAGUCACCCACUUUCUGGUACAAGAAGUUCUUCCUGUCUGCGUCUGUUUCAAACGUGCUGAUGUAGUAGGAAUGCACCCAAUAACAUAUCUUGGUCAAAUUUUCAUUUUGUCUGUACAACAAACUUUAUCCUCUCGUGGCA